UACGGAGGGAGCUAGCGUUGUUCGGGAUUACUGGGCGUAAAGCGCACGUAGGCGGCUAUUCAAGUCGGGGGUGAAAGCCCGGGGCUCAACCCCGGAACUGCCCUCGAAACUAGAUAGCUAGAAUCUUGGAGAGGCGAGUGGAAUUCCGAGUGUAGAGGUGAAAUUCGUAGAUAUUCGGAAGAACACCAGUGGCGAAGGCGACUCGCUGGACAAGUAUUGACGCUGAGGUGCGAAAGCGUGGGGAGCAAACAGG
rnacentral:rRNA from 1 species